UCCCGUUUAUCCUGCGGGAGAUUGCUGCCAUUGGGAUUCGACUAAGCCAUGCAAGUACUCCAGCAAUGGAUGCGAAAGGCUCAGUAACACGUCGGUAACCUGCCCUAUGGUCAGGCAUAGCUUCGCGAAAGUGAGAGUAACACCUGAUAGGGAACAAGUCCUGGAAUGGACUCUUCCUUAAACUCGUGCCGUAGGAUGGGCCGGCGGCGGAUUAGGUUGUUGGCGGUGUAAUGGACCACCAAGCCGAAGAUCCGUACGGGCCAUGAGAGUGGUAGCCCGGAGAGGGACACUGAGAUACUGGUCCCAGCCCCACGGGGUGCAGCAGGCGCGAAACCUUUCCAAUGCACGAAAGUGUGAGAAGGGGAUCCCAAGUGCUCAACAAUGUUGGGCUUUUGCCAAGUGUAAAUAGCUUGGCGAAUAAGGGGUGGGCAAGACUGGUGCCAGCCGCCGCGGUAACCCCAGCGCCCCGAGUAGGAAUCACGAUUAUUGGGUCUAAAGCGUUCGUAGCAGGUUCUGUGAAUCCUUUGUGAAAUCGGCAGGCUUAACUUGUCGGCGUGCAGGGGACACUGCAGGACUCGAGACCGGGAGAGGCUAAAAGUAUUCCUUGGGUACCGGUAAAAUGGGUUAAUCCAAGGAGGACUACCAAUGGCGAAGGCAUUUGGCCAGAACGGUUCUGACUGUGAGGAACGAAAGCUAGGGGAGCAAAACGGAUUAGAUACCCGAGUAGUCCUAGCCGUAAACGCUGUGAGCAAGGUAUUGCGCACCCCACGAGGAUGCGCAGUGUCGAAGAGAAGUCGCUAAGCUCACCACAGGGAAGUACGGUCGCAAGGCUGAAACUUUAAGGAAUUGGCGGGGGAGCACCACAAGGGGUGCGGCGUGCGGUUCAAUCUAACUCAACGCAGAGAACCUCACUAGAGCCGACGGCAGAAUGAAGGUCAUGCUGAAGACAUUACCUGACAAGCCGAGAGGUAGUGCAUGGCCGUCGUCAGCUCGUGCUGUGAAGUGUCCAGUUAAGUCUGGCAACGAGCGAGACCUGUACCCUCUAUUGCUAACAACACCUUCGGGUGGAUUGAGCACUUUGAGGGGACUGCCCUGGAAACAGGGAGGAAGGUGCAGGCUACGGUAGGUCUGUAUGCUCCGAAUGCUCUAGGCUACACGCGAAACAAUGAUAGGGACAAUGGGAUGCCACUCCGAGAGGAGGAGCUAAACCUCUAAACCCUAUCCUAGUUCAGAUCGAGGCUUGUAACCCAGCCUCGUGACGCUGGUAUCCCUAGUAAUCGGAUAUCAUCAUUGUCCGGUGAAUAUGUCCCUGCUCCUUGCACACACCGCCCGUCAAACCAACCGAGCAGGGCUUAGGUAAAAUCCAACUUUAUUGGUUGUAUUGAACCUAAGUUCAGUGAGGUGGGUUAAGUCGUCACAAGGUC
rnacentral:rRNA from 1 species